rnacentral:lncRNA from 1 species
UCUGACACACCCCGUCCCGAAGGAGGGCAUGCUGGCCGUCACGUGAGAGUGACGUAACCAUUUGCACAGUACGGAAGCUUUAAGAUACAAUUUAUAAGUUGAUACACCCGAAGGUGAGUCCUAAUUUUGUCCAUUUUGUCAGAACACCGUCGAAUUCCUCGUAGUCACCACACCUUUGUGAUUCCUGAACCUGGAGGGGCGCAAAACCAAAAUUGAGUGGGUCAGUAAAACAAUUCUUUUCCAAAUCCAAACAUUUCUCAAAACGUUGUAACCCCUCUCCGUAAAACCUGUAUACUUUCCCAGAAAUGUAAAAUAUAAAUAUACAUAUAUAUUCUCAAUACUUCAAUUCAUUAACUCAACAUUUUUUUCUUUAUCAAUCAUGCCAUGCCAUGUCUAAUUCAACAGUUAAGUAUGGAUGCAUCAACAAUAAUCAUAUCAGGUGCAAGAAAGUAAUCAACCGGAGGCCCUCUAAUAGCCCUGUACGGUUGAACCUAGAGCUCAAAUUCUAUCACUCUCACUCUACCGGAGUCACCUCUGUGACCUGUCCGGCCUUCUGCACACAAGUUACGCUCUAGUGCUUUCUCAUCAAUCAUCUGUGCACAUAAUCUAAGGUCACCCACCAGUCGAAAUCUCACUAACACUCUUCGACUGGCCCGUCGCACCCACUCCGCGUGGACUGUGCGACCAGCAUCUACUUGGAUCCAAGGCGAGCGUGCGAUGCGGUGAAUACUAUAAGCACUAAACCAUGGUGCAGGAUUUGAGCUCAAUAUACAUCAACAUCAUCAUAACAAUAUUUAAAUACUCACCUGAUACUCACCUGUGCGUCCGCCGCACCAUUCAUUCAUAUGCAUCAUAUCUCAAUUUCAUACUUUUCAUAUCAUUUCAUGCAUGGCAAUUCGAUUCACAUUUCUAUAUACUUUUCAUAUACUUUUAUGCAUGGCAUCUCAAUUCACAUUUUCAUAUAAUUCUAUAUGCCUUUCGUUUAAAACAUAAUUUCAUUCUAAUUCAAUUUCUGGGAAAACGUCAAGUAUAUAUAUAUAUACGGAAAACAAAACUGCCCACUCACAGAUUACAUCGACGUCUCGUAAGUCCCUGAGCAUCCCUUGGCCAUGCCCGAUGCCCGCAUAAACCUCACCUAUACAAAAGUAACCAAUUUGACGUUAUUUAACGCCUAACCC